ACUGAACGCUGGCGGCAUGCUUUACACAUGCAAGUCGAACGGUAACAGGCCGCAAGGUGCUGACGAGUGGCGAACGGGUGAGUAAUGCAUCGGAACGUGCCCAGUCGUGGGGGAUAACUACUCGAAAGAGUAGCUAAUACCGCAUACGAUCUAUGGAUGAAAGCGGGGGACCGUAAGGCCUCGCGCGGUUGGAGCGGCCGAUGUCAGAUUAGGUAGUUGGUGGGGUAAAGGCUCACCAAGCCAACGAUCUGUAGCUGGUCUGAGAGGACGACCAGCCACACUGGGACUGAGACACGGCCCAGACUCCUACGGGAGGCAGCAGUGGGGAAUUUUGGACAAUGGGCGCAAGCCUGAUCCAGCAAUGCCGCGUGCAGGAAGAAGGCCUUCGGGUUGUAAACUGCCUUUGUACGGAACGAAACGGCUCUGGUUAAUACCCGGGGCUAAUGACGGUACCGUAAGAAUAAGCACCGGCUAACUACGUG
rnacentral:rRNA from 1 species